GUGGCUUUCUUUCAGAUGCAGGCUGGUACAGUGAUGCUGAGAAAGUUUUUCUGUCCUGCCUUCAGUUGUGUACUCUACAUGAUGAGAUGCUUCAUUGGUUUUGUGCGGUAGAAUGUUGUGUGAGAUUGCUUCAUGUGUGAAAUGGAAACUGCAAAUAUCAUCUGGGUGAAGAAACAUUUAAAUUAGCUCAGACAUAUAUGGAUAAACUAUCAACACAUGACCAGCAAGCAAAUAAAGCUGCACUCUAUGGAGAACUGUGUGCACUCCUGUUUGCAAAAAGUCACUAUGAUGAGGCAUACAAAUGGUGCAUUGAGGCAAUGAAAGAAAUUACAGCAGGCUUACCAGUGAAAGUUGUGGUGGAUGUUUUAAGACAAGCUUCUAAGGCUUGUGUAGUAAAACGUGAAUUUAAGAAGGCAGAACAGUUAAUUAAACAUGCAGUGUAUUUGGCACAGUGGGUGAUUAUUGUUAAAAAUAUCCUUUUAAAUUGUCUGUAUACUUUAUAUCCUAAUAAUUUUAUUUCUUUCUAUAGGGAUCAUUUUGGAGCCAAACAUCCAAAAUAUUCUGAUACACUGCUGGAUUAUGGGUUCUACUUAUUCAAUGUAGAUAAUAUCUGUCAGUCUGUUGCAAUUUAUCAGACCGGCAGGUGAACUGGAAACUUGCGGGCCGGCAGGUGAACUGGAAACUUGAGUGGAUGGAGAACAGGUGGGAUCCCCAGGAGCAAGGGACUGUAGUCUGUUAGUGGCUCGCUUUCUUAUUCUAUCAACAAUAAGGUAGGUGGCCAUGGGAUAAUUAUAUAAGUUGUUUUUAAUUGCCUUGGAGACUUUCUUAGCCCUGAAUCCCAUGGCCACCAAGAGCUGGAUUGUUUCAGGGUUUGGGUGUUCCAGGAUUUGCUCUUCAUGAGUUGUCAGAGGCAACUGCUGGCCGUUGUUGACCCACGGGUCCCUCAGAAGUUCCUGUACUGUGGGCCGCUCCCUGGGAUCUGACAUUAGUAGUUUUUUCAUUAGACAUUCAAGGCCUUUGGAAAAGGAGGCCGGGCAGACGUACCUUCCAGAUUGAAUUUUUUCUUUGAGGACCGUACUACUGUUUGAGAAGAAGGGCAGAUCCCUCGACACCAUCUCGUACAAAGUGACACCUAGGCUCCAAAAAUCCAUGGCGGGGCAUUGGUAGCCCUGGCCCAGGAUGACUUCUGGGGCCAUGUAGAAGAAGGUGCCACAACAUGUUGCCAGCCACUGCCCCUCAUCGUAAGUUGUUGCCAAACCGAAAUCGGCAACUUUUAUGUUUCCUUCACCGUCCAACAGGAUAUUUUCUGGCUUCAGGUCUCUGUGAGCUAUUCUUCUUGUGUGGCAGUACUCCAUGGCCGACAGCAUCUGCUGGAACAUGGCCCGGGCCUCCUCCUCUGUCACGUGGUUGCGGUACAGCCACUGGUGCAGGUCUCCUCCUGAUGUAUAUUCCAUUAUUAUAUGGCAUACGUCUGUCGUCUCAAUUAUUUGAAAAAGUUCCACGAUGUUGGGGUGGUGCACAGACUUUAAAAUAUUUAGCUCUGUCUGGCUAAUGGCGACACGGGCGCCAGUUUUGUGGGUGGUUUUCACGGCCACCUGGGUCCCGGUCAGCAAGUGGUGGGCCAGCUUCACCUCGCCGAAGGCACCACGGCCAAUCAGAUCCAAUAUUUCAUAAUAUUGUAGCCCCUGGUCAGGUGGGGUGUGGGCCAAUAUCUGCCCCAUGGUGCCUGAUGCCUCUCUAAACUAACUACACGACUAAAUACUAAGCAACAAUACUGACUAUACUAACUAUGCUAAAAUAUUAAGCAACAAUACUGAUUAUACCAAAGUAUGCUAAAAUACUAAGCAACUAUACUGACUAUACUAACUAUGCUAACAAUGCUAACUAGAAAAACACACCAACACCCCUCACACAGAAACCCUCCCCCACCCCGAACACCCCCCACACAGAAACACACAGAUACUACACACACGCAUGCACGCAUGCACCCACACACACACGCACACACACCACACAACUCGCAAAUCGCUAAGCUGGUCUGAGUCCACAGGUCACCAAACAAGCUUCCAGGGAUAUCUCAGACCAAAAACCAUGACCCAGCCAGGGCCUUAUAUAGGCCCUGUGAUUGAUUCCAUCACAAAGGCUUUUCAUGACAUCAGAGCAAAGCAGGGGCCAAUCAUGGCUGGGGAUCAUUCAGAGUUCUGAGCAUGAGCCAGUCAUGGCUGGGGAUCAUUCACAGAGGUUUUCUCACUUUUGGUCCCCAAAACAUCUUCCUCUUUUAAAAAGAAAAGUGCUUUUGUCUAGAUGAGUUAUAGAGAUUCAUAGUUUCCUAGCUAUUUAAACUGGUACAACACUUCAAUAGCAUUUUCAUUUGUAGUUUCUUUUUCUAUAAUUUUUUAAUUAUACUCUUAAGUUCUGGGGUACAUGAAUAGAUUGUGCAGGUUUGUUACAUAGGUUUACAGGUGCCAUGGUGGUUUUCAAUCAUUUGUAAUUUCAAAAUCUGAAAUAGCUUUUGGAUUUUGAAGAUCUCCUAAUGUCUACAUGCAAAAUAUUCAAUUCCUUUUCUUUCAUCUCUGAACGGUUGGUCUCAACCAUUGAGAAGGGAGAGAAUAUUUUCCUUUCCUUGUAGGGUUUUUCCUUCCUCAUGUGGUUGAGAUUAUGUAAUGGACACAGAGGAAACAGACAUAGCCUACCCUCCACGAGCCCAUAGCCUCAUCAGGAAGCCCCUCCAGCCAUAAAGCUCCUUCAGCAUGAGGAGCACCAGGUGAAGCGGGGGCCAGAGAAGAGUGGCCUGGGCCGCAGGUCAGCACUGGUGAGGGAGGAAGUGGGGCUUUCUGGAGGCCAGUGUGCUGAGCCCUGCGGUGUGAGGAGGGGUCGCCUAAGUGAGUAGAGACAAGAGCAGGAGGGUAGCCUCUGCAAAGGCCCAGGAUGACCCAGGGUGGCUCUCUGGAGGGAUGCGCUAGUCUGAACAAGUGACUGGGGCCAGGUUGGGAGCGCUCGAGUCCCAGGACAGAGGCUAAGCCUGUAUUCCAGGGCCGGGGCUGUGGAAUAGUUCUGAGCCCCUCGCUGGGCCACAGCCCUGAGACCCUGACUCUGCUCCUGACCUGGGAGUGGGCUCAACUGAACUUCGCCUCCUCGCCAGCCUCACUGCCUCCAGCCUCCCCCACCCACGCCCCUCCUUUCAGGCUCCCAGAGGGCUCCAAGGAAAAGCCACCUCUGGCCUACACCACCCACCGGCUGGCCCUGAGACCUUCAAGGAGAAGCCCUCCUCCUUGUCCACCAGGGCUCGCCUGGGCAGCCUGUUCUCCCCAUGACCCUGCCUUACAGACCACCCUGUGUGCCUGUGCCCGUGUGGGUCAGGCCAUCAUGUUUCCUACACACAGUCCCCAAUGCCUGGAGUCCCCUGCUUACUCUCCUGCACUGGGUGCCCUCCUGUCCCUUCAGUCUCAGCUGAGAUAUCUGGCACUCUGGGGAGCGUCCCUGAGCCCCAGACACAGAGGAGCCUCUUCUGCCCUGGAUCCCAGGACUGCUUCUGCUUUUCUUCUGCCAUGGUGCAGAAACCUCUACCCCCCCACACACACUCGCGCACGCACAUACUCACACCUCACACACACUUGCCACCAUCUGGGGACAUGGAUUUCUGCCUGCUGGACUGCCUCUCUCCCACCCCAGCCUCUCGGGAACCCCAGGCAGAGGUGCUGCUAUUAAUAAUAUGGGCCGUGUAGGUGCACUGGAGGUGGGGAAGGGAAGGGCUCCCCAGGAAUAGCCCUGCAUGGAUGACAGCCACCCCACAGAGGGCACGGCCACUAGGAAAUGUAGGUCUUUGUACAUUUAGGUGGAGGCAGCAGGCACAGGCAGGAAGGAGAAAGUGGGGCUGGAUUCCCACGGUUGCUAAAUGCCAGUAUGAGGUGCUUCUAUUUCCUCCUGGGGAGCAAGCUUUGGGAGAGACUGAGGCCCACGAAGGCAGCACUGGGGAGGCUGGUCUGGAGGGAGAUGGCCCCUGAAGGGGCACACCUGUGCCUGUCCCUCUUGGCUCAGCCCUCACUGGCACCAGGAAUCCCUUGGUCGGGAACGGGGGGCGUCAUGGCCUUCUGCCUGAGCACCCUGACAUGUUCCCCCCAGGAUUCUGCACUUUUUUCUCCUUUUCUUUUUUCGAGACAGAGUCUCACUCCAUCACCCAGGCUGGAGUACAAUGGCAUGAUCUCAGCUCACUGCAACCUCCAUUGCCUUGGUUCAGGCGAUUCUCCUGACUCAGGUUCCUAAGUAUGUGGGAUUACAGGUGUGCACCACCACGCCUAGCUCAUUUUUUGUAUUUUUAGUGGAGACGGGGUUUUGCCACGUUGGCCAGGCUGGUCUUGAACCCCUGGGCUCAAGUGAUCAUCCCACCUUGGCUUCCCAAAGUGCUGGGAUUCCAGGUGGGAGCCACCGCUCUUGGCCUGCUCCUGCUCUUCCAUCCAUGCAUUGGAGUCACCUCUCCCUGUGGGCAGCUGCUGCACCCUGAGUGCCUGGCACAACUGAGGCCCCGAGGAGGUGCUGAAACACGGGACUCCCCAGGGGCCUCAGAUCUGGGUGGCUCCCUUGUGUGACAUGAGGCAGGAAGCAGAGCUCUGUGGGUCAUGUGCCGCCCUAGGGGAUGAAGGCUGUCCUUGUUCUCUUGCGAGCCAGGCUUGGCCACUCUUCCAGGGGACCCAUCCCCACUGCCUAGCCU
ensembl:lincRNA